rnacentral:ncRNA from 1 species
UAAUAAGCUUUGAUGAGAAGAAAUAAUUCAAAAUAAAGAGAGCUUCGGUAGCUGAAAAGAAGCAAAGAAUUAUUAUAUGACUUAUCUGCUUCGCAAAGAAAGUUAUUAACGAGUAGACUGCGACGUUCCCAGCGUUAUUGGAUUAAAGUAGUUUACUUUAUGAGGUAUAUUAUGUGAGUAAUAUACGAAUUUAGGUGGUACCUCGAAUUUUAUAUUUCGUCCUAAUC